CUACAGUGAAAAUGUAAAAUGGAAGUCCAUUUUCAGCAAAGGGCUUCUAUGUAAAGAAAAUAUAGUUUGUUGUUGAAUCUUUAAGUAAUAUAAACUUAAAAUUUUCUGUGUUUAUAAUUUAUUACAUGAAUGUUGUAAUUUAUUUCCAGGUUUAAUUAUUUUAAGGUUAAAAGGUGUGUGUGAGUGAACAUCUUGAGCCCUUGCUGAGUGCCAGAGAUUGUUCUAAGCUUUUAACCUGUUAUCUCAUUUGGUCUUCAAAGGACCUUUAUGAGUUAGAUACUGUAAUUUUCGCAAUAUAUUAAAUGAGAAAAUUGUGGCAUAUUGUAGUUUAUAGUUAAUCAUCAUUCCCACCCCCCAGUUCCAAGCCAGCACUAAUCUACUUUCUGUCUUUAUAGUAUAUCCUUUUCUGGAUAGUUCAUAUGAAUGGAGUAGUAAAAUAUGUGGCCUUUUUGUUGGCUUCUUUCAUUUACCCCGAUGUUUUGUCAUUGUGUUGUAGCAUGGAUCAGUAUUUUGUUCCUUUUUAUUGCAGAAUAAUACUUACAGUUCGUUUUUAAUGAAAAUAAUAACACAGACCUGGUCUCCUGGUAGCAAAUAUGAGAAAACCACUAGGUUUGGGCCUAGCUGUUCCCUUUAUGCCUCUCCUAUGUGUUAUCCUUGGUAACUGCCCAGACCCAAGACCAGACAGGACCAUUGCCUUCUAGAGUUCUCUUAUUCCAUACCUGGAUGCUUGUGCUUCCUCCCUUGGACUUUUUGUCCCUUUACUACCCUUCCUGGCAUUCUUUUCACUGUUCUGUGAAUUCUCAUUUUCAGUGUCAACACAUUACCCUGUGUUCUCAGUGCUUUCACAGUGGGUUGCUGGCAGGUAAUUGGAAUCUGAGAAUUUUAUCCAAGUUGCCCAUUAUUCUAAUCUCCAUAAGCCACAGAGCCAGGAACUGCUGAUGGUGUACUGGUUGUGGCGAACACUCUUUUUUGAAAAUUACUCUCUUACAUAACCACAGCACAUGCCAUCAAAAUCAGGAAAUCAGCGUUGAUCUGAUAAAACCAUCUACUCCACAGACCUUGUUCGGGUUUGGGGGAUUAUUCCAGAAUGUUCUCUCCUGGUCCAGGAUUUGAUCCAGGAUCUACUGGCAUGACUCUAAUUUUCUUCAGUAUGGAGCAGUUCCUCAGCCUUUCUUUGCAUUUCAUAGCAAACUUACUGAAGAUAACUAGUUUUUUUUUUUUUUUUUUUUUUUUUUGGUGGAAACUCAGUUUAAUGUUUCUUUAUAAUCUGCUUUUGUAGGGGAGGAGCAAAAAUUCUGUAUUCUUAGUGUUUUGUAACUGGAGCCGUGUGAUGUCAAUUUGAGUAAAUAUGAUAGAAGAUAUCCAGUGUUGGUCCUUAGGGAAAAAGGUUUUCAUAAUCACAGAAGUGGGGGCUCUCACUGAGGUUGAGUUAUCAACAAAUAGUUACAUUUUCUGGCAGCAUUGAUGGUGAAUUUUAUCUAAUUAUCUUUUAACUCAUAGAUAAGACAAUCACUUAUUCAUACAUUUACUACCCCUACUACGUGCUUACCCAUGUGUGGGUGCCGGGGAUCCAGGCAUCAACCAAACAGGCCUCUGGUUGCUCACCCUCAUUCACUGAUAUGUGUGAGAGGGAAUUUCAGUAGUGGUAAGUCAGUGGUCUUGCAACGUAAUUCUUGUGCUUUCAAAGAUCAUUCAUAGACUCAUAUAGCUAACACUCACAGGAUACUGCUCUUUGGCAUUGACCAGUCCCUCCACUUUCUUCCCUGAGACCCAUUGCAAGCUGUUUCUGAUCAUUGUCAGGAAAGAUUGUUUUCCUGUGUUUGUGUUAUUUUGAAAAGGCUCUCUGUGUUGGUUUGGUGCACCAGGAUAGUGUUGUACAGACUCACUUGCCACAGCAAAAAAAUGACAUCCUAAGGAGAAGUUAGUAUAUUCAUCAGAUGUUAAGUUUUUGAGUUGAGAUUUUGUCAGCUUUUUUGACCUGGAAAAAUAGAAGGUUUAUUUAUUUAUUUUUUUUCAAGAGUUGUCACUG
rnacentral:lncRNA from 1 species